ensembl:lncRNA
CAGCAAGUGAACACAGUACCCAGUAGGCAAUUUUUCAACCCUUGUUCCCUUCCACCCUCCUCCGUCUUGUAUUCCCCAGUGUCUACUGUUCCCAUCUUUACUCCAUAAGCACCCAAUGUUAAGCUCCCACUGAUAAGUGAGAACACGUGAUAUUUGCUUUUCUGUUUCUGCAUUAAUUCACUUAGGACAAUGGCCUCCAAGUGCAUCCCUGUUGCUGCAAAAGACAUGAUUUCGUUCUUGUUUUACGGCUGUGGAGUAUUCUAUGGUGUAUAUAUACCACAUUUUCUUUAUCCAAUCCACUGUGGAUGGACAGCUUGGUUAAUUCCAUGUCUUUGCUAUUCACACUGUGAAUAGUGCCGCGAUGAACAUAUGGGUGCAUGUACCUUUUUGGUAGAGUGAUUUCUUGUCCUUUGGGCAGGUGCCCAGUAAUGGGAUUGCUGGGUUGAAUAAUAGUUCAGCUCAGUUCUUUUAGAAAUCUCUCCUCUCCACAGUGGCUGAAAUACUUAACAUUCCCACCAGCAGUGUAUAAAUGUUGCCUUUUCUCCACAGCCCUGUCAACAUCUGUUACUUUUUUACUUUUUAACAAAAGCCAUUCUGACUGGUGUGACAUGGUAUCUUAUUGUGCUUUUGAUAUGCAUUUCUCUGAUGAUUUAUGAUGAUGAGCAUUUUUUCAUAUCUUUGUUACCUGCCUGUAUGUCUUCUGAGAAGUGUCUGUUCAGUCCCUUGCCCUACAGGUCAAUAUUUAAGGAAACCUAAAGGUUAAGCAAAAUGGGGGUUGAAGGUUAUUAGAACCCUGUAGUAUUAUUUUUGACUUGGCUCUGUUGAAUCACUCAAGACACAUCACUCCGCCUGUUCCCAGACAAUCCCAGCAUCCUUUAGUACUUUCAUAGUCAUGUUUGUGGUAGGAGUAACAAACAACAGAGCUGGAGUCAGGGGACAUGGCUUUAAAUCCCAGGAGAAUCUUCAAGAGACCGAGAUUCUGUUGGUCAGGGGUGGGGUCCAGAGGCACAUGAUGUGGAGCCUCGCCCAGCACCUCCCAGUCCCAAAACCAGUCACUCACCAGGGCUGUGGACAUUAGUUCCCCGCAUCUCCCACCAGUCUCCUCCAUCCCCGGCCCUCUGCCCUCUUGUCCACUGUUACAGACUGAAUGUCUGUGUCCCCUCGAAAUUCAGAUGCUGAAGCCUGAUUCCCAAUGCAGUGUUGUCAGAAGAGGAGGCUUUGGGGAAGUGAUUAGGUCACGGGGGCCUUCAUGAAUGACAUCUGUGCCCUUAUAAGAAGAGACACAAGGAAGAUGAUCUCUCUCUCUCUCUCUUUCUCUCUCUCUCUCGCUCCCUCUCUCUCUCCCUCCACUGUGUGAUUAUACAGCAAGCAGAAGCCAUCGGCAAAUCAGGAAGCAGGCCCUACCAGGUCUCAAAUCUUCCAGGGCCUUAACCUAGGACUUCCUGCCUCCAGAACAUGAGACAUAAAUCCUUGCUGGUGAAGUCGCCCAGUCCACAGCAUCCAGUUACAGUAGCCCAGCCGACCGAGACAGCCACAGUCUCGGCUCCGGUUUCCAUUCCUUCUCUGGUCCGCUGCCUGCUCACCGAGCUCCACUGUGACCACUCCAGCAUCCAUCCACCCUCUACAAAUCGAUCAGAGUGAUCUUUCUAAACAACCCUCAUCGCAUCACCGCCCGUGACCAACACGUUCAAUCAUUCUCCAACGCCCUCAUAUGCUGUCCCCACACCUACAUCGUCUGAUCCUUGUCUACCGAGCAAGCUUUAUAUCCAGCCAUAUCCCAUUGAUCCCUCCACCUGGUCAUACAUUAACUCACAUCACCCUCUUCUCCCAAGCCUUGGGGCCUUUGUACGCAUGGUUACCAUGAUCCAGAACUGCCACACACACACACGCACACACUCAUGAGCACACACACACAUCCUGCCUCACCCAUCUGCCCUUCCCUCUCAGCCCUGGUUCGAGGUUGUUCCUAGAGGGACCCCACUAACAUAUACUCUUGUUAGAACUCUCAUCACACUUCCUUGCCAUUACCAUUUUUCUCACCUGUCUCCCGCACCAAACUAAAACCAGAAUUUUUAUUCGCUCAUCUCCCCAUCACUAUUGUCCAGUGCCUGGUAUACAGUAAGUGCUCAAUAAGUGUUUGCUGAAUGAAUACAUAAUUGCUAAACAUGACGCAUUCCAUAGUGGAGGUAAAUAUGGAAUGAUAUGAGAAGGAAUGUUCCCACCAACUUGACUCCUAUAAAUAAAAAGAGGCCACCGAGUGUGGUGGUUCAUGCCUGUAACCCCAGCACUUUGGGAGAUGGAAGCAGGUGGAUCACUUGAGGUCAGGAGUUCAAGACCAGCCUGGCCAACAUGAUGAAACCCCAUCUCUACUAACAAUAAAAAAAUUAACUGGGCCUGGUGUCAGGUGUCUGUAAUCCCAACUACUGGGCAGGCUGAGGCAGGAGAGUCACUUGAAACUGGGAGGCGGAGGUUGCAGUGAGCCGAGAUGGAGCCAUUGCACAGGUGACAAGAGCGAAACUCCAUCUCAAAAAAAAAAAAAAAAGAAAGAAAAAG